rnacentral:lncRNA from 1 species
UGCUCGUGUCUUGCAGGGAAUGUUGAAGAAGAGUAUUGGGAAAGAAAGAGGCCUCAAAGCAGGCCCAGGCUACCAGUGCCGUGACCUCCCAGUGAACCAUAGCAGCACCUAGGAAGAGCCAAUGAGUGGUGGGACCGUGGACAAAGCCAUUCCUGCUGGGGUUCACAGGCGAUGAUGGUCCAGGCUGAAGGAUUCGACACUGGAUGGGGCCUUCAGGCCUGACUGCAGGGCCAGGGAAUGUUCUGGAAGUGGCACAGCCUGAGCGCAGCCCGCCUGCCCAUGUUUGAGUUCUGGCUGCACACAUAAAGCUCUGGACUCUGGGGAAGUUGCUAAAUCUCUCUGUGCCCCCAUUUCCCAUCUGUCAAAUAAUGGCAAUAGUAGCAGCUCCUGCC